rnacentral:sRNA from 1 species
UGAGCCACCGCACUCAGCCAUUUUUUUAUCGUGGAGUAUAAAAGAUAUUCCCUGAGAAGUCGCCCUUCCAUCAUCAUCACCACUCAGUCAUCCUUCCACAGGCAACCCUGAUUUGUGACCCAGAAGGAAAUCUCUGACCUCAGCUGUGGCUCUUGGUGCU